CACGUAGGAGGCAAACGUUAUCCGGAUUUACUGGGCGUAAAGCGCGUGUAGGUGGUUCUGUAAGUAGGGCGUGAAAGCUACCGGCUCAACUGGGAGAGGCCGUUCUAAACUGCAGAGCUAGAGGAUGGUAGAGGGAGGUGGAAUUCCAGGUGUAGCGGUGGAAUGCGCAGAUAUCUGGAGGAACACCAGUGGCGAAGGCGGCCUCCUGGACCAUUCCUGACACUCAGACGCGAAAGCUAGGGUAGCAAACGGGAUUAGAUACCCGCGUAGU
rnacentral:rRNA from 1 species